GACGAACGCUGGCGGCGUGCUUAAUACAUGCAAGUCGAACGGAGCCUAGCUGGUGGUUUACUACCGGCGAAAGCUUAGUGGCGGACGGGUGAGUAACGCGUGGGUAAUCUGCCCCUAAGUCUGGGAUAACAGAGCGAAAGUUCUGCUAAUACCGGAUACUCUUCCCGGGUCGCAUGGUCCGGGAAGGAAAGGUUUACUGCUUAGGGAUGAGCCCGCGUCCCAUUAGCUAGUUGAUGAGGUAACGGCUCACCAAGGCGACGAUGGGUAGCCGGCCUGAGAGGGUGGACGGCCACACUGGGACUGAGACACGGCCCAGACUCCUACGGGAGGCAGCAGUAGGGAAUUUUCCGCAAUGGGCGAAAGCCUGACGGAGCAACGCCGCGUGAGGGAAGAAGGUCUUCGGAUCGUAAACCUUUGUCAUCGGGGACGAUCAUGACGGUACCCGAGGAGGAAGCCCCGGCUAACUACGUGCCAGCAGCCGCGGUAAUACGUAGGGGGCGAGCGUUGUCCGGAAUUACUGGGCGUAAAGGGCGCGUAGGCGGCCCAAUAAGUCAGAUGUGAAAAACCUGGGCUUAACCGAGGUCUUGCAUUUGAAACUGUUGGGCUUGAGGACAGGAGAGGAAAGCGGAAUUCCCAGUGUAGCGGUGAAAUGCGUAGAUAUUGGGAGGAACACCAGUGGCGAAGGCGGCUUUCUGGACUGCACCUGACGCUGAGGCGCGAAAGCCAGGGGAGCGAACGGGAUUAGAUACCCCGGUAGUCCUGGCCGUAAACGAUGGAUACUAGGUGUGGGAGGUAUCGACCCCUUCCGUGCCGUAGCCAACGCACUAAGUAUCCCGCCUGGGGAGUACGGCCGCAAGGCUGA
rnacentral:rRNA from 1 species